CUCCUUUUUGUGUGGUUUUUCUAAGUCUAUUUUUGGUGUUGGAUAUAUAUAUACUCAAACCUGAUGAUAACUAAUUUUAGAAGAAUGGUUCAGGGCUUCUAGAGGUUUUCUAUGAAUUCUAUCUGUGGUGGUGAAAAAGUUAUGAAGGUUGUCAAAUUCCUUAAACAAGCUCUGAGAACAUUGUGGAAUAGAGAUAUUGUCGGUAACACUGGUGAAAAAACUUAAAGCUUUAGAGAAAGAAGUUAAGACUUUAGAGAAUAAUAAAGAAAGUAGGGACCUGUCUUUUGAAAAAUAGGACAGGCCAUCUUGCUCAAAACUGAAAUUCUAGAAACUUUUGUCAUCUUUGUCUAUCUCUCUAGAGGUACCAUUCACAUUGGAUGAGGUUAAAGAAAUUAUUUGGGACUGUGAUAGUAACAAAGCACCUGAACUUGAUGGUGUUAACCUAAAAAAAGCUCACCUGGUCACAUUUCACAUACAUUUUUGUCUGUGCUGUUGUUGUUAGGGUGUUGAAAUAGCAGGGAGUUUCUAGUUGUUGUUGAUGUAGGUAUUGCGGGGGAAGUUGGGAGGGACUUUUCAUAGAUAGAGAGAGCGAGAGCGAGAGAGAGACUGUGGAUGUGGUAACAUGUGAGAUCGUGAGUGGAAGGGACGGCGGCCAUGAUAGUUUUUCGUUUCUCUCCUUUUUUGCAGGUUAGGUAAGGGUGGCCCGAGUGGACAGAUAUACUUACUAUAUGUAUACACACAGAUACAGACAUGGCUUAUACUGGAACUUGAUUUGGCAGGAUUCCGGAGGCUAUUAUCCUUUUCAUUCUUUCAACCGCCGUAUACAUAUGUUGACAUUGAUGGAAGUUUUCAUGUACCCCACCACCACUCAUUGCUCCCAAAGACUUCCUCUUCUCAACCCACCACACCUCUCUCUCUUUUGUUUCUUAUGAGAACGGACAUGAAUACCAGCUACUCAAGAAUCGAUUUGAGCUGCAGACACUCCCUUUCUCUCACAUAUUUGAUUGAUAUAAUAUUCGUUUGUCAUAACCCUUUUUUUCUCUCUCUUUUUUCAGGCUACUUAACGUUCUUCACCAAAAGAGGCGGAACUGGACGCCGCCGCCUCAGCCAUCCCGAAGUUCAAAACAAUCUUUAUUUCGAGUCUUAAACUGUGUAUAUAAAACACCCUUUUAGAAUGAAAAAAACAAAGAUAUUCUUUGGUCUCUAA
rnacentral:lncRNA from 1 species